CCUAACCCAGUCCAAGAUCUUUGUGCAUUGUGUGUAAGUCCAACCCAUUUUGUUAGUGAAUGCCCAACCGCACUUCAAUUUUUCGAGUUUGUGCACGAACAAAUCCAGCAAGCUCAAACCGAACAAGCUCAUAGACCAGAAAAUGAUCCAUACUCGAACACUUAUAACCUGGCUGGAGAAACUAUCCAAAUUUUUUUUGAAGACCACAGUCAGUGGUUGG
rnacentral:lncRNA from 1 species